rnacentral:rRNA from 1 species
AUUGAACGCUGGCGGCAUGCUUUACACAUGCAAGUCGAACGGUAACAGGCCGCAAGGUGCUGACGAGUGGCGAACGGGUGAGUAAUGCAUCGGAACGUGCCCAGUCGUGGGGGAUAACGCAGCGAAAGCUGCGCUAAUACCGCAUACGAUCUGUGGAUGAAAGCGGGGGACCGAAAGGCCUCGCGCGAUUGGAGCGGCCGAUGUCAGAUUAGGUAGUUGGUGGGGUAAAGGCCCACCAAGCCAACGAUCUGUAGCUGGUCUGAGAGGACGACCAGCCACACUGGGACUGAGACACGGCCCAGACUCCUACGGGAGGCAGCAGUGGGGAAUUUUGGAUAAUGGGCGCAAGCCUGAUCCAGCAAUGCCGCGUGCAGGAAGAAGGCCUUCGGGUUGUAAACUGCUUUUGUACGGAACGAAACGGUUCUGGUUAAUACCUGGGGCUAAUGACGGUACCGUAAGAAUAAGCACCGGCUAACUACGUGCCAGCCGCCGCAGUAAAAC